GGAUAUCUCGGCUCUCGCAUCGAUGAAGAACGUAGCGAAAUACGAUACGUGGUGUGAAUUGCAGAAUCCCGCGAACCAUCGAGUUUUUGAACGCAAGUUGCGCCCGAGGGUCCUGCCCGAGGGCACGCCUGCCUCAUGGGCGUAACAAGCCCAUCCACGCUCGGGUGUCCCGGCCUCGUCACUCGUGACGGGCCUGGACGGACGCGGAUGAUGGCCCUCCGAGCCAGAGCGCACGGCGGGCCGAAGCGUGCGUUUGUCGGAUGCGGUCGGAGCGGCGAGUGGUGGGAUCCUGCGCGCGCCGCCUCGUGCCAUUCUCCGGCGUCGGGCGCUUAGCUUCGACCCUGUACGAGGAGCCCGUCGUCGGCGCGUCCGACUUCGGGGAACCCUCGGACCAAUACCCCAGGUCAGGCGGGGCUACCCGCCGAGUUUAAGCAUA
rnacentral:misc_RNA from 1 species